rfam:Ictidomys tridecemlineatus contig051058, whole genome shotgun sequence.
GGGGGUGUGGUUCAGUGGUAGAACACUUCCCCAGCAAUGAGCAAGGCCUUGGGUUAGAUCCCCAGCAUCACCA